AUGAACGCUAGCUACAGGCUUAACACAUGCAAGUCGAGGGGCAGCAUGAACUUAGCUUGCUAAGUUUGAUGGCGACCGGCGCACGGGUGAGUAACACGUAUCCAACCUGCCGAUGACUCGGGGAUAGCCUUUCGAAAGAAAGAUUAAUACCCGAUGGCAUAGUUCUUCCGCAUGGUAGAACUAUUAAAGAAUUUCGGUCAUCGAUGGGGAUGCGUUCCAUUAGGUUGUUGGCGGGGUAACGGCCCACCAAGCCUUCGAUGGAUAGGGGUUCUGAGAGGAAGGUCCCCCACAUUGGAACUGAGACACGGUCCAAACUCCUACGGGAGGCAGCAGUGAGGAAUAUUGGUCAAUGGACGAGAGUCUGAACCAGCCAAGUAGCGUGAAGGAUGACUGCCCUAUGGGUUGUAAACUUCUUUUAUACGGGAAUAAAGUGAGGCACGUGUGCCUUUUUGUAUGUACCGUAUGAAUAAGGAUCGGCUAACUCCGUGCCAGCAGCCGCGGUAAUACGGAGGAUCCGAGCGUUAUCCGGAUUUAUUGGGUUUAAAGGGAGCGUAGGCGGACGCUUAAGUCAGUUGUGAAAGUUUGCGGCUCAACCGUAAAAUUGCAGUUGAUACUGGGUGUCUUGAGUACAGUAGAGGCAGGCGGAAUUCGUGGUGUAGCGGUGAAAUGCUUAGAUAUCACGAAGAACUCCGAUUGCGAAGGCAGCUUGCUGGACUGUAACUGACGCUGAUGCUCGAAAGUGUGGGUAUCAAACAGGAUUAGAUACCCUGGUAGUCCACACAGUAAACGAUGAAUACUCGCUGUUUGCGAUAUACAGUAAGCGGCCAAGCGAAAGCGUUAAGUAUUCCACCUGGGGAGUACGCCGGCAACGGUGAAACUCAAAGGAAUUGACGGGGGCCCGCACAAGCAGUGGAGUAUGUGGUUUAAUUCGACGCAACGCGAAGAACCUUACCAGGGCUUGACAUAUACAGGAAUAUAUAAGAGAUUAUAUAGCUCUUCGGAGUCUGUAUACAGGUGGUGCAUGGUUGUCGUCAGCUCGUGUCGUGAGAUGUUGGGUUAAGUCCCGCAACGAGCGCAACCCUUGCCAUUAGUUGCUACGAAAGGGCACUCUAAUGGGACUGCCGGUGACAAACCGGAGGAAGGUGGGGAUGACGUCAAAUCAGCACGGCCCUUACGUCCGGGGCUACACACGUGUUACAAUGGGGGGUACAGAAGGCAGCUACACGGCGACGUGAUGCUAAUCCCGAAAGCCUCUCUCAGUUCGGAUUGGAGUCUGCAACCCGACUCCAUGAAGCUGGAUUCGCUAGUAAUCGCGCAUCAGCCACGGCGCGGUGAAUACGUUCCCGGGCCUUGUACACACCGCCCGUCAAGCCAUGAAAGCCGGGGGUACCUGAAGUGCGUAACCGCAAGGAGCGCCCUAGGGUAAAACUGGUGAUUGGGGCU
rnacentral:rRNA from 1 species